rnacentral:rRNA from 1 species
UACUGAGGUGGCAAGCGUUGUUCGGAAUUACUGGGCGUAAAGGGCGCGUAGGCGGCCAUCUAAGUCAGACGUGAAAUCCCCCGGCUCAACCUGGGAACUGCGUCUGAUACUGGACGGCUUGAGUUUGGGAGAGGGAUGUAGAAUUCCAGGUGUAGCGGUGAAAUGCGUAGAUAUCUGGAGGAAUACCGGUGGCGAAGGCGGCAUCCUGGACCAAUACUGACGCUGAGGCGCGAAAGCUAGGGGAGCAAACGGG